UGCUGUAUGUGAAGCUCUAGAGUUCAGCAGUUUAAUAGAAGACGGGACAAAGGACAACUUGAAUCUGUUAGUCCUACACUGUGGCACCCUCAGUCUCCGUUCCGAAGGCAGCAGGACAUAUUCACUGUGAAGGGGAUGCUCUGGGUCGGUGGAGAUGUUUUAUGC